rnacentral:lncRNA from 1 species
UUUAGAAAAAGGGUUUCCCCAUGCCUCCACGCCCAAAUCAAAGGGGGAAUCUAAAAUCCCUAAAUCCUCUGCUUCUCUUCUUCUUCAUUCAUCGGCAUCGGCGAUCCAGAGAGGCGACAACGGUAAGCCUCAAGGUCACCAUGCUUCUUCGUCUCCGGUGGUUUGCAACCGAGAGCGAGACGGCCCUGAUUCACGAUGGUGGUGGAGGGAGGCAACCGAGAGGCCCUCGAUCGUGGAGCUUCAAAGACACUAUCCCUUCUUCGUCUUCGGUGGUUCACGAUGGUGUGGACUCUCCAUUCACGACGGCUUGAAGAACCAUUUAGCUGAACAUCCAAAUUUUUUAUUUUUUUGGAAACACAAUUUGUAUAUAUUUAGAUGAACAUUUAAAUUGUGUAAUUUUUUGGAUUAUAACACUUUUUAUGUCUAUGCUAUAUGUAGUUAUGUUCUUUUUAGAUGUACACAGUUAACUCAAGAC